rnacentral:rRNA from 1 species
ACCCGCUGAACUUAAGCAUAUCAAUAAGCGGAGGAAAAGAAACUAACAAGGAUUCCCCUAGUAACGGCGAGUGAAGCGGGAUGAGCUCAAAUUUGAAAUCUGGCUGGUUUGACCAGUCCGAGUUGUAGUUUAAAGAGGCGUUUUCGGUGGCAGCCUGGGUACAAAUCCUUUGGAACAGGGUAUCAUAGAGGGUGAGAAUCCCGUCUCUGACUCAGUGCAUGCUACUAUGUGAUACGUCUUCAAAGAGUCGAGUUGUUUGGGAAUGCAGCUCAAAAUGGGUGGUAAAUCUCAUCUAAGGCUAAAUACCGGCGAGAGACCGAUAGCGAACAAGUACCGUGAGGGAAAGAUGAAAAGAACUUUGAAAAGAGAGUUAAACAGUGCGUGAAAUUGUUGAAAGGGAAACGUUUGACACCAGUUUUGCGGGUGGGAAAUCAGUCGUUUGCAGUGGGGAGUGGUUGGAGUUCAGACCGCAAGGCUGGCUUUGAUCUCAUCUUUGCUGUGGCCGAUGCACUUUUUCAUUUGCAGGUCAACAUCAGUUUCUUCUGCUGGACAAAACCCUAAGAGAAUGUGGCAGCUUUGGCUGUGUUAUAGCUCUGGGGCGAUACAGUGGUGGGGACUGAGGUUUCGCAGUGUGUGCUCUCGGGCAAGGCUGACCAGGUGCUAUGGGGUGGUUCGGUGUACAAUGCACGCAUUUUGCAUCGUGUCCGUUCUGUACUCGCUUGGCUCGGCUCUUCCACGCUUAGGAUGUUGACAUAAUGGUUUUAAACGACCCGUCUUGAAACACGG